rnacentral:rRNA from 1 species
ACCAUUGGGGCAGACUACACAUGCAGUCGAGCGGUAGCACAGAGAGCUUGCUCUCGGGUGACGAGCGGCGGACGGGUGAGUAAUGUCUGGGAAACUGCCUGAUGGAGGGGGAUAACUACUGGAAACGGUAGCUAAUACCGCAUAAUGUCGCAAGACCAAAGUGGGGGACCUUCGGGCCUCAUGCCAUCAGAUGUGCCCAGAUGGGAUUAGCUAGUAGGUGGGGUAACGGCUCACCUAGGCGACGAUCCCUAGCUGGUCUGAGAGGAUGACCAGCCACACUGGAACUGAGACACGGUCCAGACUCCUACGGGAGGCAGCAGUGGGGAAUAUUGCACAAUGGGCGCAAGCCUGAUGCAGCCAUGCCGCGUGUGUGAAGAAGGCCUUCGGGUUGUAAAGCACUUUCAGCGGGGAGGAAGGCGUUGAGGUUAAUAACCUUGUCGAUUGACGUUACCCGCAGAAGAAGCACCGGCUAACUCCGUGCCAGCAGCCGCGGUAAUACGGAGGGUGCAAGCGUUAAUCGGAAUUACUGGGCGUAAAGCGCACGCAGGCGGUCUGUCAAGUCGGAUGUGAAAUCCCCGGGCUCAACCUGGGAACUGCAUUCGAAACUGGCAGGCUAGAGUCUUGUAGAGGGGGGUAGAAUUCCAGGUGUAGCGGUGAAAUGCGUAGAGAUCUGGAGGAAUACCGGUGGCGAAGGCGGCCCCCUGGACAAAGACUGACGCUCAGGUGCGAAAGCGUGGGGAGCAAACAGGAUUAGAUACCCUGGUAGUCCACGCCGUAAACGAUGUCGAUUUGGAGGUUGUGCCCUUGAGGCGUGGCUUCCGGAGCUAACGCGUUAAAUCGACCGCCUGGGGAGUACGGCCGCAAGGUUAAAACUCAAAUGAAUUGACGGGGGCCCGCACAAGCGGUGGAGCAUGUGGUUUAAUUCGAUGCAACGCGAAGAACCUUACCUGGUCUUGACAUCCACAGAACUUUCCAGAGAUGGAUUGGUGCCUUCGGGAACUGUGAGACAGGUGCUGCAUGGCUGUCGUCAGCUCGUGUUGUGAAAUGUUGGGUUAAGUCCCGCAACGAGCGCAACCCUUAUCCUUUGUUGCCAGCGGUCCGGCCGGGAACUCAAAGGAGACUGCCAGUGAUAAACUGGAGGAAGGUGGGGAUGACGUCAAGUCAUCAUGGCCCUUACGACCAGGGCUACACACGUGCUACAAUGGCAUAUACAAAGAGAAGCGACCUCGCGAGAGCAAGCGGACCUCAUAAAGUAUGUCGUAGUCCGGAUUGGAGUCUGCAACUCGACUCCAUGAAGUCGGAAUCGCUAGUAAUCGUAGAUCAGAAUGCUACGGUGAAUACGUUCCCGGGCCUUGUACACACCGCCCGUCACACCAUGGGAGUGGGUUGCAAAAGAAGUAGGUAGCUUAACCUUCGGGAGGGCGCUACCACCUUUGAUUCAAGG